UACGAAGGGGACUAGCGUUGUUCGGAUUUACUGGGCGUAAAGCGCGCGUAGGCGGAUCGCUAAGUCAGGGGUGAAAUCCCAGGGCUCAACCCUGGAACUGCCUUUGAUACUGACGAUCUGGAGAUCGGGAGAGGUUGGUGGAAUUCCGAGUGUAGAGGUGAAAUUCGUAGAUAUUCGGAGGAACACCAGAAGCGAAGGCGGCCAACUGGCCCGAUACUGACGCUGAGGCACGAAAGCGUGGGGAGCAAACAGG
rnacentral:rRNA from 1 species